rnacentral:rRNA from 1 species
UUCGACGCAACGCGCAGAACCUUACCUGGUCUUGACAUCUCGGAAUCAUUUGGAAACAUAUGAGUGCCUCGCAAGAGGAGCCCGAUGACAGGUGCUGCAUGGCUGUCGUCAGCUCGUGUCGUGAGAUGUUGGGUUAAGUCCCGCAACGAGCGCAACCCUUGUCUUUAGUUGCCAUCAUUAAGUUGGGCACUCUAAAGAGACUGCCGGUGUCAAACCGGAGGAAGGUGGGGAUGACGUCAAGUCCUCAUGGCCUUUAUGACCAGGGCUACACACGUACUACAAUGGCAGGUACAAAGGGCAGCCACUUAGCGAUAAGGCGCGAAUCCCAUAAAACCUGUCUCAGUCCGGAUUGGAGUCUGCAACUCGACUCCAUGAAGUUGGAAUCGCUAGUAAUCGCAGAUCAGCACGCUGCGGUGAAUACGUUCCCGGGCCUU